GAUGAAGAACGUAGCGAAAUGCGAUAAGUAAUGUGAAUUGCAGAAUUCAGUGAAUCAUCGAAUCUUUGAACGCACAUUGCGCCCCCCAGUAUUCUGGCGGGCAUGCCUGUUCGAGCGUCAUUUCAACCAUCAAGCCCUGCUUGUGUUGGGGUCCUGCGGCUGCCCGCAGGCCCUGAAAACCAGUGGCGGGCUCGCUAGUCACACCGAGCGCAGUAGCACAUCUCGCUCAGGGCGUGCGGCGGGCUCCAGCCGUUAAAGCACCAACCUUUCGCAAGGUUGACCUCGGAUCAGGUAGGAAUACCCGCUGAACUUAAGCAUAUCAAUAAGCGGAGGA
rnacentral:misc_RNA from 1 species